rnacentral:hammerhead_ribozyme from 1 species
GCACUGCUGAGAAGUCCCAAAAAUAGGACGAAACGGCCGUCCAAUGC